rnacentral:rRNA from 1 species
AUUACCCAAUACUGACACAGUGAGGUAGUGACAAUAAAUAACAAUGCCGGGCCUUUAUAGGUCUGGCAAUUGGAAUGAGAACAAUUCAAAAUACUUAUCGAGGAUCCAUUGGAGGGCAAGUCUGGUGCCAGCAGCCGCGGUAAUUCCAGCUCCAAUAGCGUAUAUUAAAGUUGUUGCAGUUAAAAAGCUCGUAGUUGGAUUUGUGGCGUACGGCAGGCCCCAGGCGCUUGCGUCUGCGUGGCUGGCCGUUGCCAUCCUUGGGUGGAACCUGUGUGGCAUUAGGUUGUCGUGCAGGGGAUGCCCAUCUUUUACUGUGAAAAAAUUAGAGUGUUCAAAGCAGGCUUAUGCCGUUGAAUAUAUUAGCAUGGAAUAAUGAGAUAGGACUUUGUCGCUAUUUUGUUGGUUUGCGCGGUGAGGUAUGAUUAAUAGGGACAGUUGGGGGUAUUCGUAUUCCAUUGUCAGAGGUGAAAUUCUUGGAUUUCUGGAAGACGAACUACUGCGAAAGCAUUUACCAAGGAUGUUUUCAUUAAUCAAGAACGAAAGUUAGGGGAUCGAAGAUGAUUAGAUACCAUCGUAGUCUUAACCAUAAACUAUGCCGAUUAGGGAUUGGUGGGGUCUCGUUACGUCUCCAUCAGCACCUUGUGAGAAAUCAUUAAAUUUUUGGGUUCCGGGGGGAGUAUGGUCGCAAGGCUGAAACUUAAAGAAAUUGACGAAAGGGCACCACCAGGAGUGGAGCCUGCGGCUUAAUUUGACCCAACACGGGAAAACUUACCAGGUCCAGACAUAGUGAGGAUUGACAGAUUGAGAGCUCUUUCUUGAUUCUAUGGGUGGUGGUGCAUGGCCGUUCUUAGUUGGUGGAGUGGUUUGUCUGGUUAAUUCCGUUAACGAACGAGACCGCUGCCUGCUAAAUAGCCCAGUGAGUGAAUUUUCACUGACUGCUGGCUUCUUAGAGGGACGUGCAUUCUAUUAGAUGCAGGAAGAUAGCGGCAAUAACAGGUCUGUGAUGCCCUUAGAUGUCCUGGGCCGCACGCGCGCUACACUGAUGCACUCAACGAGUUCCUACCUUGGCCGAGAGGCCUGGGCAAUCUUUUUAAUGUGCAUCGUGAUAGGGAUAGAUUAUUGCAAUUUUUAAUCUUGAACGAGGAAUUCCUAGUAAACGCAGAUCAUCAAUCUGCAUUGAUUACGUCCCUGCCCUUUGUACACACCGCCCGUCGCACCUACCGAUUGAAUGGUCCGGUGAAGCCUCGGGAUUGUGGCCAGUUUCCUUUAUUGGGAGUUGGUUGCGAGAACCUGUCUAAACCUUAUCAUUUAGAGGAAGCUGAAGUC